AGGGAUGCGAGGAACGGCGCCAUCCAUUGGGGGAGAUGUUGGCGGAGGCAACAAACAGGCACCGGGAGCCGCGUGACAGUAAAGAAGGAAUAGUGAGGUUUAGAAGGUCAUUAAAUAAGGAGUUCCUCACCUUCCAUGGGAAGUUGCGCCAGCUUCCCUAGGAAGCUAAGCAACCGGUGCCUCUCGAUCUGAAUGCAAUUGGUUAUGAUUCUUGGCGAAGCUAGAUGUAAAUUCCAUUGUUAGAAAAGUGAAUAGACUCGACUAAAAUGUUAUGUGUGUGGAGUUAGUCGAAAAUAUUUGAGUAGCGCAGUGGUGGAUAGCAACUACCAUACAACAAGGAUUGCCUUGCCAAGUCUUGGCAAGCAAGGCUAGUGGGCAAGCUUGGGCAAGACAACCAAGCAGACCCAGAGUUUCAUCCAUGGUUUCAUUUGUAUUUGUUGAUGUCGCACUCUUGGAAAACCAAAAUGAAAUCAUGCAAUGAGAUUAGCAAAAGUGACAGUACACCAUCAACACAAUGUUCAAAAACGUAAGACAACAUAACCAAAGUGACACUUGUAGAAUACAUCAUCAGAAAAAUGUUCAGAAAUAUAAGGAAAUCCUACAGUACUUUCACUCUAAGUACCAUUAGCUACCAAAAUAUAAGAGCACCAUCCCACCUCUAAACCAACUACUUAAUUAGCCUUGCCUCCAAGUAUCAAUCCCGCGACAACAACAAGUAAAGCAAGCAGCAUGUGCGCGAGUUUGACAUUGUGCUUAUAAUUCCCAAUUGACUUCAGCUCAAUAGUAGCCUUUUGAAGUUGUUGCUGCACUGUCUUGAGCUCAUUCCUAAUCUCUCUAAGCUCACAGUUAGGUUUUCCCAAUUCUUCCUCCC
rnacentral:lncRNA from 1 species